GACGAACCGUACGAACGUUAUUCGGAAUCACUGGGCUUAAAGGGUGCGUAGGCGGCGCGGCAAGUUGGGUGUGAAAUCCCUCGGCUCAACCGAGGAACUGCGUCCAAAACUGCCGUGCUCGAGGGAGACAGAGGUGAGCGGAACUUAGGGUGGAGCGGUGAAAUGCGCAGAUAUCAGGAGGAACACCGGUGGCGAAGGCGGGUCUCUGGGCCGAUACUGACGCUGAGGAGCGAAAGCGUGGGGAGCGAACAGG
rnacentral:rRNA from 1 species